rnacentral:rRNA from 1 species
UACGUAGGUGGCGAGCGUUGUCCGGAUUUACUGGGCGUAAAGAGCGCGCAGGCGGUCGUUCAAGUCGCGUGUGAAAGCCCCCGGCUCAACUGGGGAGGGUCACGCGAUACUGAUCGACUCGAAGGCAGGAGAGGGAAGUGGAAUUCCCGGUGUAGUGGUGAAAUGCGUAGAUAUCGGGAGGAACACCAGUGGCGAAAGCGACUUCCUGGACCAGUACCGACGUUCAGGCACGAAAGCGUGGGGAGCAAACAGG